AGCUGUCACAAUGCAAACAACGCUAUCAAGAUCUCCAGGAGAAGCUGCUGCUAUCAGAAGCCACUGUCUUUGCUCAGGCGAACGAGCUGGAGAAAUAGAGAGUUAUACUUAGUGAACCCUUGCUGAAGCAGGACAGUAAACAGGUCCAGGUGGACCUCCAGGACCUGGGCCACGAGACUUGUGGCCAAAGCAAGAAUGAGGCUGAACAGGAGGAAACCACCAGUCCCGGAAAUAUGAUUCCCUGAUUCAGGAUCAGGCCCGGGAACUGUCUUACCUACGGCAAAAAAUAGGAGAAGGGAGAGGUGUUUGUUAUCUUCUCACCCAGCAUGCAAAAGAUACAGUAAAAUCUUUUGAGGAUCUCCUAAGGAGCAAUGACAUUGACUACUACCUGGGACAGAGCUUCCGGGAGCAACUGGCCCAGGGAAGCCAGCUGACAGAGAGGCUCACCAGCACACUCAGCACCAGAUCAAGACUGCUCAAUGGGACUCCUAGCCCUGACACACAGCUGGGACUCUCAGGUCCGACCAGCGGUCCUGAACCCGCUCCCACGGCACGGGAACUCCUUCGUGGUGAAGCAGCAGCCCCUGCGCUGGCUCAUCUACAUAGAAGUCGCCCUAUCUGUGAUGUCACCGACAGUGCCUUUCCCAGUCCCCGUCUGCCUUUCUGCCGCUCAGCCGACCAACCCGCUGCUGGAGCCGGCAAGGGGAAGUGACGUCUGCCUCUCCCUUUUUUCUCUCCUGCUUCCCUCAUCUGUUCUCUCCCAAAGAAGCUGGUCCUUAGCCUGUAUUGCGGAGCAAGCUUUCGGCGACCAGCUGGACCCUGGGCACCCUUCUUCGAACAAUGGCUUUUAAUUCUCAGACUAGAACAUUUAGGAUUACAAAAGAAACUGGUUCUUUUCACAUCCUUAUCCUUGUGAUGUAGCAUUCCGCAUAUAUAUAUAUAUAUCCAACUAUCCUAAAAGACACUGCCCUUCAUCAUUCCAUGCCGUUAGACAUUUAUAGGACCAUGCAUGGUGAUCUCCUCCAGACAAAAGUAAAUGCUGGUGCAGAGCAGGUAAGUGUACUAUAAUUUGAGUACUUCAGCUUUUGGGCAUUUUAAACCAUGGGUCAGACAAGUUAGAGCAAGAGGGCAGGUUGAUAGCAAGAGGGAGUGUUUUUCUUUUAAUUUCCUUUUUUUUUUUUUUUUUUUUUUUUGAGACGGAGUCUCGCGCUCUUCGCUCAGGCUGGAGUGCAGUGGGGCUAUCUCGGCUCACUGCAAGCUCCGCCUCCCGGGUUCACACCAUUCUCCUGCCUCAGCCUCCCCAGUAGCUGGGAUUACAGGCACCCGCCACCACGUCCAGCUAAUUUUUUGUAUUUUUAGUAGAGUUGGGGUUUCACUCUGUUAGCCAGGAUGGUCUCGAUCUCCUGACCUUGUGAUCCGCCCACCUCGGCCUCCCAAAGUGCUGGGAUUACAGGCGUGAGCCACCGCGCCCGGCUUCUUUUAAUUUUCAAAUAGCAAAGUGAUGUUUGCCACUGUCAUUUCAGAAUGAGGUGACAAUUUGUUGUUGUUUGGUUUUGUGGGGUUUUUUGUUUGUUUGUUUGUUUCUGAGACAAGGUCUCACUGUCGCCCAGGUUGGAGUACAGUGGCAUGAUCAGGGUUUACUUCUGCCUUGACCUCAUGAAUUCAAGCAAACCUCCUUACUAAUCCUCCCAAGUAGCUGGGACUACAGGUGCAUGACACCACACCCUGGGGUGUGAACUGGGAUUUGAUGUUUUCAGUUGGCUCCCUGAUGGAAUAGGUUCCCUUACUAUUCUGGAAUACAGAUUGUCUUCAUGAUUAUGAUUCAUAAUCAUAAUGAUUAUGACAGCAGUCCCUGCUGUCAGGCAGGGACGUUUAAGUCUGCAGAAGCUGUCUGCUGCCUUUUAUUCAGAUAUGCCCUGCCCCCAGAGGUAGAAUCUAGAGGCAGUAGGCCUUGCUGAGCUGCAGUGGGCUCUACCCAGUUCGAGCUUCCCUACCACUUUAUUUACACUGUGACCAUAGAACCACAUACUCAAGCCUCAGCAGUGGCAGAACCCCCUCCCCCUGCCAUGCUCCAGUGUCACAGGUUGAUCUCAGACUGCUGUGCUAGCAGCAGGCAAGGCUCCAUGGGCAUGGGACCUGCCGAGCCAGGCACAAGAGGGAAUCUCCUGUUCUGUCGGUUGCAAAGACAGUGGAAAACACAGUAUUUGGGCAGGGGUGUACUGCUCCUCGAGGUACAGUCACUCACAGCUUCCCUUGGCUAGGAAAAAGAAAUCCCCCAACCCCUUGCACUUCCCGGGUGAGGCGACACCCCACCCUGCUUUGGCUCAUCCUCCGUGGGCUGCAUCCACUGUCCAACAAGUCCCAGUGAGAUGAACCAGGUACCUCAGUUGGAAAUGCAGAAAUCACCUGUCUUCUGUGUCUAUCUCACCUGAAGCUGUAGACCGGAGCUGUUCCUAUUCAGCCAUCUUAGAAGCAACCCUCUUUUUCUUUUUGUAUUUUGGUAGAGACAGGGUUUCACCAUAUUGCCCAGGCUGGUUUCAAACUCCUGUGGUCAAGCCAUUCUAUAAAACAAACUUAUAUUUGUUUUAUCUGAGUUCCUUCCUCAGGAAAGGACUCUCAGGCCUCUCAAAAAGCAUCAGAGACCUGAAACUCAGCCAAUCACAGCAUCCAGACAAUGAGAUGCCAGUCCCCUCACUCAUCACGAGUGCUUCCUCAGCCCUCCCUAGUUCCUCUUUUCCCACACACAGUUAACUUUUCUUCUGCGCUAUAUAAACCCCUAACUUUAGUCAAUCAGGGAGACAGAUUUGAGACUCAUCUCCUGUCUACUCAGCUGCAGCACCUGAUUAAAGCCUUCUUCCUCAGCAAUACUCAAUGUCUCAAUGAUUGGCUUUCUGUGUGCUGAGAACACUGAAGCCCUGUGGUUUUGGUAAAAAUACAUGUACCCUUUAAAAAACCGCAAUUAAUGGGUUGUGGUAUAUUGAGAAAUUGGAGUGGCAUCAACUUGGCCAAUUCUGAGGAAACACACUGUGCUUAAGUGUCAGGGCCCUGCCUCCUGACCUCGACAGUUUAUGGUUGAUUUUGAGGCACAGCAGGGGAGUAUGGCCUGGUUUGAGUGUUUUAUAGAAAUGUAAAACAUGGCUGAUUACUUUUUAUUUUAAAUCCAACAAAUCUCCAUUUCUGGUGAGAAAAUCUUGCCAAAACCAACCAAACAAAUGCAUAGAAGUAUAUGAAGAAGAAAAUGAAAGAUUCCCUGCCUCCCAAUCCCACUUGCUUGGUGUCAGCCAUUAUUUAUCACAUGGAGGAAGGGGGCAAGACACCCAAGAAGUCCCAAGUCCUGUUCUCACAAUCAUCUGGCCUCCCUGGGCAAAGGGAAAAGAGGGAAGGCAAAAAGAAUAUAACACUACUGUUUGCGGAAAUUUCCCCUUGGUACAGGAAACUCUGGUAAACUGAGAGAGUAUGUUUUCCAGAGGGAGGCCUCAGGGGCUCUUCUCUGGCCCUAAGCCCAAACUGGAUUUUGCCUCAUUUUCUGAGGUGCAAAUGAAAUGAUAAAAGUUGAUCAAAGGAGAGGGCAGAGAGAAAGAAAGAGGAUGACUCCUCUCUCGCAGGUCCACCUUCUUUGGUGUUGCUUGAGGGAUCAGAAGAAAUGCCUUAACAUAGGUGUGUGGGAACUAUGGCUGCUAAGUAUGAACUCAGUUACCUCCAGUUAUAAGCUAGUGUGAGGUUCCAUGGUGAGCACUUUGGACUCUGAAUUCAGUGAUCAGAGUUCAAGUCUCACUGGUACCUUUCUGUAUAAUUCCAGUGAGGUUCCUCUCUAUUGCUCCAUAAGCAGAAUGGGGGAAAUUGCCCAAUCGUGGUCACAGACCCUCCAUGCCACUGGCUGUAUGCAAUUGGAGUCCCGGACCCAGCGACCAGCAAGACCCCUCCCCUCUCAGGGUGACCCUGGGCCUCCAGGUCACAGGUCUCCACUAAAAAUGCUGCCUCCCCUCAAUCCUAGACCCCGAGUUUUCUUUUGUUCACGUCAUUGGGCCAUUGCCCUAUGUCUCUUUGGAAGAAAUGACCUAUAUGAAAAAUUUUACUUCCAGGAUUCCCUAAUUCUUUCAUCCCUUAGGACAGUGCAGUUUUUCAUCUCCUGAUCUUGGGUCCGGUACUAAUGCGCGCGUUUCAUCUUGUUUUCAUGGGAUCCCCUCCAACCGGCUACCAGUGGAUUUCUGUUCUUGGGGUCUCUGUGGAUGACAACUAGAUGCUGCUCUUGUCCCAAAUCCUGACACCUCCCUCCAGGGAAUUGCCUCCCUUAGCCUCCUAAAUCAGCCAAUAUUUAGAUUUGAGCCUGGAAUCCCAGCAUCUGUGGAGAACAGAGGCUCCUGAUCCCUGGCCAGCCUCCCGCAGUGAAGGGGAGAGGAGCAGAGCAGCUGGGAGGGGCAAGUCCGGGGCCCUGGGCAACCCCCUUCUUCCUGCCCAGACUCUGCUCCAAAGAGAAGUUGCCUUAGGACCAGAUCAGAUGGAAACUCUUGUUCUCUUCUCAUCAGCAGAAAAAUUUAGGCAAGAGCUCUGGAGGACUUUCCUAGCUCAUAAAAAUGCUGUGGUCAAGUCUCUCCAGUUUUGGAAAUGCCCAAGGUUACCAAGUGUUUUGAGGGCUCACUUUGGAGCCUCUGAAAAGGACGGGUGAGGGCCCAUGGGAAGGUACCUGAGGGAUUCAGGAGAGAGAGGGGAAAGAGCAGACAGGAGGGAGGAGAGAAGGAGGGAGGGGGAGAAAGGGUGUGUGAGGGCCAGGAGCCAGGAUUCACCCUGACAGUUCAGUGACUGCUCCCUGACCCCAAGGUUCCCACUGUGGCACCUUCCAGCAGGUGGUUUCCAUCUCUUAUUGAUGUCCUGAGAACUUGGCUCUACAGAAUGGUCCCACCCUAUUUGUCUGGCAUGAGUCCUGCAAAGUUUCUUUUCAUCGUUUGGGGGAUGAGAUGGGGGUAUAUAGGCUUGCAAGUGACUAGGAGCUAAGUCAGGACCUUGUGGAGCCACUCAGAGUUAACUGUCAAGUAGCCUCCCUUCCCCCUUCGCUUGCAGGACGAUUGCCUGCAAGACAGGGCCUGGAGGCCAGGGCACCCAAGGCCACAGAAAUGCCCAGGGAUGAGUCCUGGCUGGAGAUGCCUUGGCUAAGCUGACUGUGCACUUCCAGGGCUCACAGGAGUCUGGCCGGGAGACUGAGCAAGGGGACCAGGGAGGUUGUGUAGCAGGCUUCUGCACAGCAAGGCAGACAUUCUUCUUGGAGCCCCCAACCCAAAUCAGGUCUUCCACCUCCUCUUCCUAAAGACCCUUUACUGCUGUCAUUCUUUUACUGAACUACAAGUUUAGAGGACAUGGAUUUCAGUGCCCUCAUCUGGCCAACCAUCUUCAGCCGCCAAUGGGCAAGGUAACCUCCCUCCCUGCCAAGACCUGACUCAGGACCUUUCCUUAAGGAGAUGUCCUGUUCUUUCUUUCCCACCAGAACUGCCCUGGCCCAGGCCCCAUUUCUGUCUGGUGACCAGGACAGUCCCCUCACCAGUCUCCCAGGUUGGGGAGGGCAGAUCCUCCUCAGCUCCCUGCCCCUGAGAGACCCCAACCGUCUUGUGUGGCUCCGGCCCACAGAGUGAUAUCCAUGGCCCAUAUCUCUCAAAACUCUCCCCUCCCACUCUGAAUCCACCCUCUACUGCAUGCUCCCCUCACAGAACAGACUAAUUUUUGUGUGUGUGUCCUUGUUUUGCCUACCUGUACCCCAGACAGACUUUUCUGUCUUAGAACUACCUGUCCCUCUUUGGACAGUGUCUUCCUGGUACUACACAUGAAGAUGUCCCGCUCUCCACUGCUCAAGGAGAGAGUGCCUGACCUGAGCUGGGCCCAUCAGAUCCAGUACUUACCUGGAAUAGGAAAAAGAUGGGGAGAGUGACCAAAGAUUACAAAAAUCUCUGAAGCUUAUCCACUUGAGAGAGAGUCCCUGAAGAUACUGGCCUCUCAUUCCUGCUAUGUAUGUCCAAUGUGACUGAACUCUGAAUAAAAUAUACAAGUUAUAACAAUGUAGCAAUUGACCCAGCAAACGAGGACACAAACGUGUUGGAGGGAUUUGAGUUUGAUGUCAUGCAUAUAAUGUGAUCCCACUGUAUGACUACACAAAUGUUGGCAAAAGUGAGUUCAGAGGAAAUGGUAGGCAAGUACUUCCCAGUUUUGACCAGAAGAUGGAGAAAAAAAGAAUUCUCAAAAAAUGUUAAAGGUGUCUACGGAGAAAUAGACAAGCGAUGCACGACAGAUACAUGUGUCAGUCUGGUCCCUGCAGUUGUAUUUGUAAUAAUACACAUUGGAGCAAUUUCAUGGCCAUCGGUUAGAGAAUGUUUGAGGAAUGAUCCAUUCAUAUCAAGAAGGACAUUUCAAAGAUCAAAGCCUGAUGGAAAUGCUGGAGACCAUGGCGCUGAUAGGAGCUCAUGCGUGUUGACCAAUUACUACGUGACAGGCAUUGGCUCCAGGCUUUUCCUGCACUGCUCAUUUAAACACUGGACAACCUAAGUGUUCUGAUUUAGCCCAUUGGACAGAUAGAAAUGGAGGCACAGAAGAUUAAUGUGUUUAACUUCAAACGCUGGCAGAUUAGGUUUUUCAUCCAGGGCCUGUGGCUUCACCAUAGGUGUGAUUCAUGUUCUGUCAUUCUCCACUUUAGGAAUUUCCAGUAUUCCAAAUAUGAGAAGCUGAGAAAACAAACAACAGACUCAAAACCCUAAAAACCAGGAUACGUAAGGGUAGAUGUUUGUUGGGUGUGGAUUAAAAAUGGACUUUUUUUGCCCCAAGCAACAAAGAGGCAUCUUAGAGAAUGGACAAGAGACAAGAAGAAGAGAAGCUUUAAGAGAUAUUUGGUCCAAGGAAGAGACUCUUCAGAUGGAAGGUCACAUCAGCUAGAAACAUUAAUAUGACUGGAUGGGCUCAAACCACUGACUUUUCAGUCAACAUCCGACAGCACUAACCUAGUGUUCCAGAGACCCUGCUUGUUAAACAGUGAAAGCUGUUGCUCAAUUGUGUCAUCCAUAAUUGUCAAAUAUUGCCAUUUAGUAGCACAAGGAAGUAUUCUCUGUUGCCAAGCUAGAGUACCCAUAACUCUUCUGUUUUGUUGAACAUUCUUCCCCACCACAAACCCUCUUUAGAAGACUGGGGGCUCCUAAAGCAUUGAGGCCGAGAGUCCCGUCCUUGUGCAUGUUUGGGCAUUGACCCAGGGCCAAGUGAGUGGGAGACCCCUCCACGCCUACGCCAGGUCCUCAGGUGACAACUGCAGUCUCUGGAUCUGAAGUCAUCCACUUUCCCAUUCCUAGCUCACCUCACCCAUCGUGAAGCCUGGAUUUCCUUUUUAUCACUGGUUUUGAUGGAUUCGAUUAAGGUGUUCCUUGUUGAAGUUUUCUGCAUGUUUCUUGUUCUUGGGAUAAUCAUAUUUCUGUAAUAUUUGAAGUUUAUGAUUUCCAUGGAGCUUCUAAAUCUUUCAUCCAGUAUGUUUUAAAUAUCUUUGUCUCUCUUCUCCACUACCUGCCCUUCAGGGAUUCCAUUUAGCCCUAUACUAGGGUGUUUAAAGUUUUGAUGCUGAUGGUCUUUAUGUGUUUUCAAGUCAUUUGUUAAUGUGUGUUUCAUUUAUGUUAGUUUCAACUUCUAUUCCUUCUAGUUUAAUAAUCUUCUCUUCUGCAAUAUUUAAUCCAGUGCCUUCUUCCAUUUCACACUGUAAAUCAUAGUUUUUAUCUACAGAAUUUGAUAUUUAAAAAAUCUUCAACCUCUCCAUUUAAUUAAAAUACAAUUAUACUAAUUGCGGUAACGUCCUUUUCUUCUAUUUCCAACGUGUGUGUCAAUUUCAACCAGAUUAUUAGAUUCUUCAGUAUGUGUCAUGUUUUCCUGCUUCUUUGACUGCUUGAUAUUCUUUUA